UUUUGCUACCAGACAUUGCCAGAAUGUUACAUGAAAUGAUUUCUAAGUAACCUUAGAUACCUACAAAUGUGCGUGUGAUUUUCAUCACCUGAAAUCCAAUGAAUAUCUUUAAAGGUUCUCGUAGAAGUAGGCUCCUAAACUACAGCUCUCAAAGAAAAUGGCUAAAAGGAGGCUCCGAAGCAAAACGGUCCAAAGAUGAUGGAUAAAGAACAAAAAUAAGAAACUGAGAGGGGAGUGAGGGUUGCAAAAAUGCUGGUCCCAUGGAGAGCUGCAGAGUGGAGACAGCCUCUUAAAGCCUGUCUUGCCUUGAAAAAAAAAAAAAAAAAAAAAAAAAAAACGCUGGCUUGGGGGAUGCGCAUGACUGGUGCUGGCUGUCCAGGACUACAAGAUAGGACGGAAAUCCUGACCUUGACGCUCUUCCACAGGACUGUCCGACUCUGCCAGUCUUGCUCAGCCCUUCUGGGUCUGAAGAUGCUGUCCUGUGUCAUAGCUGAAGACCAGCCUCUGCCCCCAACAAAACUACCACCGGAGCCUAGAUUUCCGCCCAGCUGGUACGCACCACCCAAAAUCAGCUGAGGACUACAAACUGCUCCAAAAGUGAGCUGCACGAUGCUACCCCAAGUAGUCCUGCAAAGAUGCAGCUCUGAAAGCUGAAACGACGCGGUCCAGCCAACGUAACUGCUCUGUCUCCAGCUGGGUCAGUGAACCAGACGCUUCUCAUGAAUGCUCCAUUGCCUGAAUCCCCUCCUGGCUUUUGACUAAUGUUCCAGUCUCCCUGGGCCCAGACAACAAUGUCCUAAUUUCAGAUGAGAAGCACUUACAGAAGAGACUAUGUUGCUCCUUCUCAACAAAGGCUGGACUGUUAUGUCAGAAGGAAACUCCCUGGCAAAGGGGACGAAAUGGCUAUAUAUAUAUAUAGUUCCUAUUUGGCAUACCAGGCUCCCUCAGUGUCAAAAAGUUACCAAAUAGACCAAGAUCUGUCAACUAAAACAGUUCAUUAGCUGAGAUAGUUCUACGAUGUGAUAGGACACUUAAUACACUCGAUACAGAACAAAAAUGGAGGGCUUCAAGGAAAAUUUGUUCUUUCUGUGCUAACCAACCAGAUGUCAUCAGAGAGACCCUAACCAUGACACAAAUUUUGUCUCUUGACAAAUAAAAAAAAUGCUAAGAUACUUGCUCUCUGCCAGCACUAUCAGCCCAUACAACAAAUAAUUACCAUUCCCAAGGAUUGGGUCACAACAGGACCAUCCUGACUCCUUAAGAUCCAUCUUGUUACAAGGUCAAAAUAAGUUCAUUCCCACUUUCUGUAACACUUGGGUUUGACCAUGUCUUGACCCAUAUUGUGGAAUUUGACCUCUUCCACAUGCCCUACCCUAACUUCCAUCCCGAUAAGCUAUUCUGCCAAAUAAUUUUAAAAUAUUCUGCUAAGUUCCUAAAUGACCAAAAACCCUUGAAAAGCCCUUAGCCUUGCAGUUUGGGGAACUAAUAUAAACCUCCUCUUUUCCUGUAUUCAAUGCUAUUUUUCAAACCCUGAUUCAGGGAGGUUGUCUGUCAGACCAAAA